AUUGAACGCUGGCGGCAGGCUUAACACAUGCAAGUCGAGCGAGCGGCGGACGGGUGAGUAAUGUCUGGGAAACUGCCUGCUGGAGGGGGAUAACUACUGGACACGGUAGCUAAUACCGCAUACCAUCAGAUGUGCCCAGAUGGGAUUAGCUAGUAGGUGGGGUAAUGGCGCACCUAGGCGACGAUCCCUAGCUGGUCUGCGAGGAUGACAAGCAACACUGGAACUGAGAACUGGUCCAGACUCCUACGGGAGGAAGCAGGGGGGAAUAUUGCACAAGGGGCGCAAGCCUGAUGAAGCCAGGCCGGGUGUGGGAAGAAGGCCUUCGGGUUGUAAAGAACUUUCAGCGAGGAGGCGUUACUCGCAGAAGAAGCACCGGCUAACUCCGUGCCAGCAGCCGCGGUAAUAC
rnacentral:rRNA from 1 species